AAUUAUAAAAAUCGGUUGUCUUAAUUGUCAAGCCAGAAUAUGGACCUCAUCCUAAUCUAUGAGAGCUAUCUUCACCUGGUAUUGGGAUAGAAAAAAAUUCUACUUGCUUACCCCAUGAAAAUCUAAGGGAUAAAGAAUUCUAUCUCCUUUCUCCCUUGACAAACAGAUCCUUUGCCAAAAGCCCUUGUAAUGAAAUAGUAUCUACAUGAGUAGGCCACCAAGCUAAAAAGAUAUAGAAGAUAACCAA
rnacentral:lncRNA from 1 species